rnacentral:rRNA from 1 species
AAACCAGCACCUCAAGUGGUCAGGAUGAUUAUUGGGCCUAAAGCAUCCGUAGCCGGCUCUGUAAGUUUUCGGUUAAAUCUGUACGCUCAACGUACAGGCUGCUGGGAAUACUGCAGGGCUAGGGAGUGGGAGAGAUAGACGGUACUCGGGAGGAAGUGGUAAAAUGCUUUGAUCUCUCGAUGACCACCUGUGGCGAAGGCGGUCUAUCAGAACACGUCCGACGGUGAGGGAUGAAAGCUGGGGGAGCAAACCGGAUUAGAAACCCCAGUAGUCC